rnacentral:rRNA from 1 species
GGUUAAGUUAGAAAGGGCGCACGGUGGAUGCCUUGGCACUAGGAGCCGAUGAAGGACGGGACGAACACCGAUAUGCUUCGGGGAGCUGUAAGCAAGCUUUGAUCCGGAAAUUUCCGAAUGGGGAACCCCCCUGCUCGUAAUGGAGCAGUAUCCAUACUUGAAGACAUAGAGUAUGAGAAGGCAUACCCGGGGAACUGAAACAUCUAAGUACCCGGAGGAAGAGAAAGCAAAUGCGAUUCCCUGAGUAGCGGCGAGCGAAACGGGAACAGCCCAAACCAAGAGGCUUGCCUCUUGGGGUUGUAGGACACUCUAUACGGAGUUACAAAGGAAUGAUAUAAGCGAAGAGGUCUGGAAAGGCCCGCCAAAGAAGGUAACAGCCCUGUAACUGAAAUGUUGUUCUCUCCAGAGUGGAUCCUGAGUACGGCGGAACACGUGAAAUUCCGUCGGAAUCCGGGAGGACCAUCUCCCAAGGCUAAAUACUCCCUAGUGACAGAUAGUGAACCAGUACGGUGAGGGAAAGGUGAAAAGCCCCCCGGAAGGGGAGUGAACUAGAUCCUGAAACCGGGUGCCUACAAGUAGUCAGAGCCCGUUAACGGGUGAUGGCGUGCCUUUUGUAGAAUGAACCGGCGAGUUACGAUCCCGUGCAAGGUUAAGCAGAAGAUGCGGAGCCGCAGCGAAAGCGAGUCUGAAUAGGGGGCAUGAGUACGUGGUAGUAGACCCGAAACAAGGUGAUCUACCCAUGUCCGGGGUGAAGUUCAGGUAACACUGAAUGGAGGCCCGAACCCACGCACGUUGAAAAGUGCGGGGAUGAGGUGUGCGUAGGGGUGAAAUGCCAAUCGAACCUGGAGAUAGCUGGUUCUCUCCGAAAUAGCUUUAGGGCUAGCCUCAAGGUAAGAGUCUCGGAGGUAGAGCACUGAUUGGACUAGGGGCCCCUACCGGGUUACCGAAUUCAGUCAAACUCCGAAUGCCGAUGACUUAUCCUUGGGAGUCAGACUGCGAGUGAUAAGAUCCGUAGUCGAAAGGGAAACAGCCCAGACCGCCAGCUAAGGUCCCAAAGUAUACGUUAAGUGGAAAAGGAUGUGGAGUUGCUUAGACAACCAGGAUGUUGGCUUAGAAGCAGCCACCAUUUAAAGAGUGCGUAAUAGCUCACUGGUCGAGUGACUCUGCGCCGAAAAUGUACCGGGGCUAAACGUAUCACCGAAGCUGCGGACUGUUCUUACGAACAGUGGUAGGAGAGCGUUCUAAGGGCUGUGAAGCCAGACCGGAAGGACUGGUGGAGCGCUUAGAAGUGAGAAUGCCGGUAUGAGUAGCGAAAGACGGGUGAGAAUCCCGUCCACCGAAUGCCUAAGGUUUCCUGAGGAAGGCUCGUCCGCUCAGGGUUAGUCGGGACCUAAGCCGAGGCCGAAAGGCGUAGGCGAUGGACAACAGGUUGAUAUUCCUGUACCACCUCCUCACCAUUUGAGCAAUGGGGGGACGCAGGAGGAUAGGGUAAGCGCGGUAUUGGAUAUCCGCGUCCAAGCAGUUAGGCUGGGAAAUAGGCAAAUCCGUUUCCCGUAAAGGCUGAGCUGUGAUGGCGAGCGAAAUUUAGUAGCGAAGUUCCUGAUUCCACACUGCCAAGAAAAGCCUCUAGCGAGGUGAGAGGUGCCCGUACCGCAAACCGACACAGGUAGGCGAGGAGAGAAUCCUAAGGUGAUCGAGAGAACUCUCGUUAAGGAACUCGGCAAAAUGACCCCGUAACUUCGGGAGAAGGGGUGCUUCUUAGGGUGUUAAAGCCCCGAGAAGCCGCAGUGAAUAGGCCCAGGCGACUGUUUAGCAAAA